ACAUGAGUGCCAGAUAAUAUGGGUUGGUUUUAAGCAUCAAACAUGGGUGUUUCCCCUCAUGUG
rnacentral:tRNA from 1 species